UACGAAGGGGGCUAGCGUUGCUCGGAAUCACUGGGCGUAAAGCGCACGUAGGCGGAUUCUUAAGUCAGGGGUGAAAUCCUGGAGCUCAACUCCAGAACUGCCUUUGAUACUGGGAAUCUUCGAGUCCGGGAGAGGUGAGUGGAACUGCGAGUGUAGAGGUGAAAUUCGUAGAUAUUCGCAAGAACACCAGUGGCGAAGGCGGCUCACUGGCCCGGUACUGACGCUGAGGUGCGAAAGCGUGGGGAGCAAACAGGG
rnacentral:rRNA from 1 species